CAGUAGCCACGGUAAUACGAAGGGGGCUAGCGUUGUUCGGAAUUACUGGGCGUAAAGCGCACGUAGGCGGAUUUUUAAGUCAGGGGUGAAAUCCCGAGGCUCAACCUCGGAACUGCCUUUGAUACUGGAGAUCUUGAGUUCGGAAGAGGUUGGUGGAACAGCUAGUGUAGAGGUGAAAUUCGUAGAUAUUAGCUAGAACACCAGUGGCGAAGGCGGCCAACUGGCCCGAUACUGACGCUGAGGUGCGAAAGCGUGGGGAGCAAACAGGAUUAGAUACCCGCGUAGUCCCUGUCUCUUAUAA
rnacentral:rRNA from 1 species